rnacentral:rRNA from 1 species
CGCAAGCCUGAUGGAGCAACACCGCGUGAGUGAAGAAGGGUUUCGGCUCGUAAAGCUCUGUUGUUAAAGAAGAACACGUAUGAGAGUAACUGUUCAUACGUUGACGGUAUUUAACCAGAAAGUCACGGCUAACUACGUGCCAGCAGCCGCGGUAAUACGUAGGCGGCAAGCGUUAUCCGGAUUUAUUGGGCGUAAAGAGAGUGCAGGCGGUUUUCUAAGUCUGAUGUGAAAGCCUUCGGCUUAACCGGAGAAGUGCAUCGGAAACUGGAUAACUUGAGUGCAGAAGAGGGUAGUGGAACUCCAUGUGUAGCGGUGGAAUGCGUAGAUAUAUGGAAGAACACCAGUGGCGAAGGCGGCUACCUGGUCUGCAACUGACGCUGAGACUCGAAAGCAUGGGUAGCGAACAGGAUUAGAUACCCUGGUAG